AUCUUAUUGGUUGAAAUUACGUCAGUAUAUUUGCAAAUUUCCCUGCUCUUUUCAACAGUUCACUGAUUCACCUGGUCAUUGAGCUAUCUUUGUGCCAAAACCUUUGAUUUUUUAAGCCUUUAAAAGUUUAAUAAACGUUGAAAUAUCAGUUAAAACGGAUGGGCAACUUAAAAAAGUUUGAAGAAUACUACAGUUCGACGUUUUAAUAAAGACUUGGAUGGCAAGCAAGACCCUCGCCACAGCAGACAGGAUGGAGUUUCCUCAACGAAUUUGAUUAUCAAACUGGAGCUAAACUGAGGUAUUGGCCGGAAAGUCGUAUCAAACAAAGUGAAU